GACGAACGCUGGCGGCGUGCCUAAUACAUGCAAGUGGGACGCAAGGACACACACUGUGCUUGCACACCGUGUUUUCUUGAGUCGCGAACGGGUGAGUAACGCGUAGGUAACCUGCCUAUUAGCGGGGGAUAACUAUUGGAAACGAUAGCUAAUACCGCAUAAUAUUAAUUAUUGCGUGAUAAUUGAUUGAAAGAUGCAAGCGCAUCACUAGUAGAUGGACCUGCGUUGUAUUAGCUAGUUGGUAAGGUAAGAGCUUACCAAGGCGACGAUACAUAGCCGACCUGAGAGGGUGAUCGGCCACACUGGGACUGAGACACGGCCCAGACUCCUACGGGAGGCAGCAGUAGGGAAUCUUCGGCAAUGGACGAAAGUCUGACCGAGCAACGCCGCGUGAGUGAAGAAGGGUUUCGGAUCGUAAAGCUCUGUUGUAAGUCAAGAACGUGUGUGAGAGUGGAAAGUUCACACAGUGACGGUAGCUUACCAGAAAGAGACGGCUAACUACGUG
rnacentral:rRNA from 1 species